UCAGCCUGUGGCAGUUGGUGACUAUCUUGCUCUCGUAAAAGCAGAGCCAUGUGAAGAUGACACCAGUGGCAGAGCCCAGAGGUGGGGAAAGAUGACUUCUGCUGAUGUCACUGAGCACCAGGUACAGCCCUGCCUGAAGCUAUCUCCCUGUGGAUGUCUCAGUUAGGCUGUCUGCUGCAUGAGAAUGGAGACCUGCCUGCUUCACUCCCUGCUGUGCCCGGUAUAUGGAACCCGCCCAACACACAGUAGGACCUCAGCGAAUGUGUGACGUGUGUGUGAUCACUGUAGGCCACAGACAAAGGUCUUCCCAGCAGUGAUGAAACCCUGUGACAGAUCCUGUCCACAGCACCCUGCUCCUCCGAUCCUGACC